GGAGGUCUGCGGUUCGAUCCCGCAUAGCUCCACCAUCUCUGUAGUGAUUAAAUAAAAAAUACUUCAGAGUGUACCU
rnacentral:tRNA from 1 species